AUUGCCAAAGGCUAGAAAAUGGCUUCAAAAUAUACUUUUAACAGUUGUAAUGGGGCUAUACGCGGAGCCGUUUGUCCUAAAGAGGGCGCUGGGGUAAUAGUGGUUAUUGAAGAUAGCCUCGUUUUCGCGUCCGUGUAGAAAUGGCUUUAGAGAAUGGGAAGCAAACAGUGGCGAAGUUAAAACUUCAACUAGUUGAAAGAGGAGCCUCCACUAGAGGAAAGAAACAGGAUUUGGUAGAAAGGCCACAGAGAAGGAAGUGUCAGAACUUGAGAACAGAACUAGAGGCCAAAGUAAAAGUCGAGUGUGGCAUGAAGAAAGGUCAUGGAGAAUAACAGCAUCGUGGUUUGGUGAUAUUUUGAACGCAACCGAAACACAAGACAAAUUAUGCCAGUCACUGUUGUUUACCCAUGAAAUCAAGACUCCAUAUUUCUUAAAUAUAUAUAUGUAUUUUAAUAAGAUUGAUUUUUAGUGGUGUAAAUUUUAAAUGGU